GCAGAGUGAGUGAGAUUGCCAGUUGAGGAAAACUAUCUGACGGGUAGAGGUUAAACCCAACACAACUCAAGUUUUACCUAAAAUGUCUCUUGAUGUUCUCCUACAAGCUGCAGAAUUCCUUGAAAGAAGGGAUCGAGAAGCUGAGCACGGUUAUGCUACUCUAUUGCCUGAUGCUGAGGAUGAAUUUCCAAGUCCAAAGCCUGUGAGACAGUCUAAAGUGUCGAAAAAGAUGCAGGGAGGGUCCAGGUCGAGCCAUAACGAGCUGGAAAAGAAUCGGAGAGCUCACCUUCGAAAUUGUCUGGAAGGUCUCAAGGAUUUGGUUCCCUUGGGCACUGACAGCUCGAGACAUACAACACUGGGUCUACUAAACAAAGCCAAACAUUUUAUACGGAACCUGGAGGACCGGGACCGGAAAAGUGUAGCACAAAAAGAAAAUCUUUUCCGAGAGCAAAGGUAUUUACGGAGACGCUUAGAGCUGUUGUCCUCCCAGGUCGACGCUAUCCAUAAACGUCGAUCCAUAUCCGAGUCUUCUACUUCUACAGUGUCAUCUAUACAGUCAUCCACUUCAGAGUCAGACGACCACGAGGUUGAUGUGCUGGGCUACGGUGGUGUGAGUGACGACGACAUAUCCAGUGUGCGUAGCACCGGAAGUGAUGGUGGUAUGAGCGUUAACACGUGGAAUCAGCUGACUAUUGUGGAUACCAAUGUUUAAGAUGACUUGUUAGCUUGUGAAGAGAAAAUUACAAUGAAUUCGGUAUAAUUGACAUGGAAACGAAACGUCCCAGUCCCUUACAACUUAAUCCAUUGAAACAAGGAAGAAAAAGUUUGCCUGGAUUAGCGAGAGAAAAGUGUUAAAUGAACUAAACCAAUGAAUUAAGAGUAACUGAUAAAUGUGAACUGAGAACAAGUGAAGUAUAUAUGUUAACAAAAUUGUCAAAAAUACCAAAAUGCAAUCGGAUUUAAAUCCAAGAAAAAAUCUUCAUGAAUUCCAACAAUUUUUAAAUUAUGACUUAAGCAGCUAGUAUUGUCAUUUCCUUUCUACAUAGAUUUUAUUGAACUAGAUUAAUUCAGUUUUAACCAAUUUAUCUUUUUUAAACUCUACAGUUCGACCAGAUUAUAAUGCCGCAAUUAUAAACUCCCACGAGGAUGGAUUUGAUAACUCGUGUCAAAUCCCUGAAAAUGAAAAUCUAGAAUGCGUGUAAAUGACUGAAAGUGUUGAUGAAACUAGUAUUUCUCCCACAGAUGAUCCCGGCGUAGCUUUCACUCAGUUUUUUAUUUUAAUUUUUAAUUCGUACUUAUUGUUUCUUUUAUG
rnacentral:misc_RNA from 1 species